rnacentral:rRNA from 1 species
GAUGAACGCUGGCGGCGUGCCUCAAACAUGCAAGUCGAGCGGGGCUAUGUAAUAUCGCAAGGUAGAACAUAGCCUAGCGGCGAACGGGUGAGUAACACGUGGGUAACCUGCCUGGAAGACAGGGAUAACGAUUCGAAAGGGUCGCUAAUACCUGAUAAUAUCCUUUCAUCGCAUGGUGAUAGGAAGAAAGGGGAAACCCGCUUUCAGAUGGGCCCGCGUCCCAUCAGCUAGUUGGUAAGGUAAAGGCUUACCAAGGCGACGACGGGUAGCCGGUCUGAGAGGACGUACGGCCACACUGGGACUGAGAUACGGCCCAGACUCCUACGGGAGGCAGCAGUUGGGAAUCUUAGGCAAUGGACGAAAGUCUGACCUAGCGACGCCGCGUGAGGGAAGAAGGCCUUCGGGUUGUAAACCUCUGUCAUGGGGGAAGAAGGAAGUGACGGUACCCCAAGAGGAAGCCCCUGCUAACUACGUG